CAGUAGCCGCGGUAAUACGAAGGGGGCUAGCGUUGUUCGGAAUCACUGGGCGUAAAGCGCACGUAGGCGGACACUUAAGUCAGAGGUGAAAUCCCAAGGCUCAACCUUGGAACUGCCUUUGAUACUGGGUGUCUUGAGUUCGGGAGAGGUGAGUGGAACUGCGAGUGUAGAGGUGAAAUUCGUAGAUAUUCGCAAGAACACCAGUGGCGAAGGCGGCUCACUGGCCCGAUACUGACGCUGAGGUGCGAAAGCGUGGGGAGCAAACAGGAUUAGAUACCCCUGUAGUCCCUGUCUCUUAUAC
rnacentral:rRNA from 1 species